GACGAACGCUGGCGGCGUGCUUAACACAUGCAAGUCGAACGAAAAGAGGGAAAGAGCUUGCUCUUUCCGGAAUUGAGUGGCAAACGGGUGAGUAACACGUAAACAACCUGCCUUCAGGAUGGGGACAACAGACGGAAACGACUGCUAAUACCGAAUAAGUUCCAAGGGCCGCAUGGCCCAUGGAAGAAAAGGUGGCCUCUACCUGUAAGCUAUCGCCUGAAGAGGGGUUUGCGUCUGAUUAGCUGGUUGGAGGGGUAACGGCCCACCAAGGCGACGAUCAGUAGCCGGUCUGAGAGGAUGAACGGCCACACUGGAACUGAGACACGGUCCAGACUCUUACGGGAGGCAGCAGUGGGGAAUCUUCCGCAAUGGGCGAAAGCCUGACGGAGCAACGCCGCGUGAGUGAUGACGGCCUUCGGGUUGUAAAACUCUGUGAUCCGGGACGAAAAGGCAGAGUGCGAAGAACAAACUGCAUUGACGGUACCGGAAAAGCAAGCCACG
rnacentral:rRNA from 1 species